UACGUAGGUGACCAGCGUUGUCCGGAUUUACUGGGCGUAAAGAGCGCGCAGGCGGUCGUUUCAAGUCGAGUGUGAAAGCCCCCGGCUCAACUGGGGAGGGUCAUUCGAUACUGAUCGACUGGAAGGCAGGAGAGGGAAGCGGAAUUCCCGGUGUAGUGGUGAAAUGCGUAGAUAUCGGGAGGAACACCAGUGGCGAAGGCGGCUUCCUGGCCUGUUCUUGACGCUGAGGCGCG
rnacentral:rRNA from 1 species